rnacentral:rRNA from 1 species
UGCCUCAGUAACGGCGAGUGAAGCGGCAACAGCUCAGAUUUGAUAUCUGGCCCCGUAGCUGGGGUCCGAGUUGUAAUCUGCAGAGGAUGCCUCGGGGGAGGCGCCGACCCAAGUUCCUUGGAACAGGACGUCGUGGAGGGUGAGAAUCCCGUUCGCGGACGGCGUGCAAACCUACCCCCGGGUGAGGCUCCUUCGACGAGUCGAGUUGUUUGGGAAUGCAGCUCUAAACGGGAGGUAAAUUUCUUCUAAAGCUAAAUAUUGGCCGGAGACCGAUAGCGCACAAGUAGAGUGAUCGAAAGAUGAAAAGCACUUUGGAAAGAGAGUCAAACAGCACGUGAAAUUGUUGAAAGGGAAGCGCUUGCGACCAGACCUGCCCGAGGUUGCUCAGCCCGCCGUCAGGCGGGUGCACUCCUCCGCGGGCAGGCCAGCGUCGGCUGGGGCGGUCGCCCAAAGGUUCGGGGAACGUGGCUCCCCCCAUUCGGGGGGAGUGUUAUAGCCCCGGACGGAAUGCGACCAGCACCGGCCGAGGUCCGCGCCUUUCGUGCCAGGACGCUGGCGUAAUGGUCGUAAGCGGCCCGUCUUGAAACACGGACCAAGGAGUCUAACAUCCACGCGAGCGUUCGGGUGAUCAGAAACCCUCGCGCGCAAUGAAAGUGAACGGAGGUGGGAGCCCUCCCCGUAACGAGGGGGGGUGCACCAUCGACCGAUCCUGAUGUCUUCGGAUGGAUUUGAGUAUGAGCGUGGCUGUUGGGACCCGAAAGAUGGUGAACUUUGCAUGGAUAGGGUGAAGCCAGAGGAAACUCUGGUGGAGGCUCGCAGCGGUUCUGACGUGCAAAUCGAUCGUCAAAUCAGUGCAAAGGGGCGAAAGACUAAUCGAACCGUCUAGUAGCUGGUUCCUGCCGAAGUUUCCCUCAGGAUAGCAGUAACGAACCCAGUUUUAUGAGGUAGAGCGAAUGAUUAGAGGUCUUGGGGCUAAAAUAGCCUUAACCUAUUCUCAAACUUCGAAUAUGUAAGAAGUCCUUGUUGCUUCGUUGAACGUGGACGCUCGAAUGUACCGUUACUAGUGGGCCAUUUUUGGUAAGCAGAACUGGCGAUGCGGGAUGAACCGAACGCGAGGUUAAGGUGCCGGAAUGCACGCUCAUCAGACACCACAAAAGGUGUUAGUUCAUCCAGACAGCAGGACGGUGGCCAUGGAAGUCGGAACCCGCUAAGGAGUGUGUAACAACUCACCUGCCGAAUGAACUAGCCCUGAAAAUGGAUGGCGCUCAAGCGUGCUACCCAUACCUCGCCGCCGGGGCAGGAUCGAUGCCCCGGCGAGUAGGCAGGCGCGGCGGUCGGUGACGAA